UUUGUGUGUAUGUUUUGUCAGUGAUCGGCUGUGUGUGCAGGUUGGGCAGGGAUCUGUGGACAUGUCUGUGAUUGUGUACGUUUGUGAUUUUGUGUGUAUGUCUGUGAUUAUGUCUUUGUAUGUAUGUGAAUGUAUAUGUAUGUGAGUUUGUGUGUGUAUGUAUGUAUGUGAUUGUGUAUAUAGGUAUAGGAUUGUGCGUAGGUCUGAUUGUGGGUGUAUGUAUGAAUGUGAUUGUGUGCAUAGGUCUGUGAUUGUAUGUGGGUAUAUCUGUGUAUGUGUGUGUGGGGGGUCAGUGAUUGUGUAUGUAUGUGAUUGUGUGUGGGUCUGUGUGUACAUUUGGGAUUGUGUGUAUG